rnacentral:rRNA from 1 species
GAUGAACGCUAGCUACAGGCUUAACACAUGCAAGUCGCGGGGCAGCAUGGGGGUUGCUUGCAAUCCCCGAUGGCGACCGGCGCACGGGUGAGUAACGCGUAUCCAACCUGCCCUUCACCACGGGAUAACCCGGCGAAAGUCGGACUAAUACCGUAUGUUGUCCAUUGACGGCAUCCGAUUUGGACGAAAGGCUUGGCGGUGAGGGAUGGGGAUGCGUCCGAUUAGCCAGACGGCGGGGUAACGGCCCACCGUGGCUACGAUCGGUAGGGGUUCUGAGAGGAAGGUCCCCCACACUGGAACUGCGACACGGUCCAGACUCCUACGGGAGGCAGCAGUGAGGAAUAUUGGUCAGCGGGCGUAAGCCUGAACCAGCCAAGUAGCGUGCAGGAUGACGGCCCUAUGGGUUGUAAACUGCUUUUAUGCGGGGAUAAAGUGGCCCACGUGUGGGCUUUUGCAGGUACCGCAUGAAUAAGGACCGGCUAAUUCCGUG